rnacentral:rRNA from 1 species
GACGAACGCUGGCGGCGUGCUUAACACAUGCAAGUCGAACGGAAAGGCCCUGCUUUUGUGGGGUGCUCGAGUGGCGAACGGGUGAGUAACACGUGAGUAACCUGCCCUUGACUUUGGGAUAACUUCAGGAAACUGGGGCUAAUACCGGAUAGGAGCUCCUGCUGCAUGGUGGGGGUUGGAAAGUUUCGGCGGUUGGGGAUGGACUCGCGGCUUAUCAGCUUGUUGGUGGGGUAGUGGCUUACCAAGGCUUUGACGGGUAGCCGGCCUGAGAGGGUGACCGGCCACAUUGGGACUGGGAUACGGCCCAGACUCCUAAGGGAGGCAGGAGUGGGGAAUAUUGCACAAUGGGCGGAAGCCUGAUGCAGCAACGCCGCGUGCGGGAUGACGGCCUUCGGGUUGUAAACCGCUUUCGCCUGUGACGAAGCGUGAGUGACGGUAAUGGGUAAAGAAGCACCGGCUAACUACGUG